ACACGACUACAUUAGAUACCCCUGUAGUCCUAGCCGUAAACGAUACUCGCUAGGUGUCGGCCACGGUGCGACCGUUGUCGGUGCCGUAGGGAAGCCGUGAAGCGAGCCACCUGGGAAGUACGGCCGCAAGGCUGAAACUUAAAGGAAUUGGCGGGGGAGCACAACAACGGGUGGAGCUUGCGGUUUAAUUGGACUCAACGCCGGAAAACUCAUCGGGAGCGACAGCAGUAUGAUUGCCAGGUUGAUGACCUUGCUUGACGAGCUG
rnacentral:rRNA from 1 species